GUAGUGAAGAAAAAAGUUAUAUGUACCUCUAAAAAGUUCAAAUACAAUGGUUUCCGUUCUAGAAUAUCAGUCAAAUAGCCCUAACAAAAAAAAAAUGUUCGCUCAAAUAUCCGAUGCCCUCUAAAAUGUGGAUAAUUUCUUAAAACAAAGGAGCAGUGAAGCUGUUUCACACUAGAAUAAAAAAGUAUUUCAAUCUUUUCUUAAAUUCAUAGUAUCAUAGAACUGUAUGUACUUUUUUUUGUUUGUUUUAGCAACAGUUUGAUUGAAUAAUUUAAAUCAAUCAACAAAUUAUGAACUCUGGAAAAAAGCCUGAAAC
rnacentral:lncRNA from 1 species